GACCAAUUGGCCUAGUGGUUAUGGCAUCUGUCUUACACACAGAAGGUCGCAGGUUCGAUCCCUGCAUUGGUCA
rnacentral:tRNA from 1 species